ACUAUCUUGGCAGAUUAGUGCGUUAAAUUUAGAAUUUAUUUAUGUGGUUUAAUUCCUCAGAUAGUA
rnacentral:tRNA from 1 species